rnacentral:rRNA from 1 species
GCCCCUAAAUCAUGGCCAAGUUCCGAGCGGGACAGAAGGGGAGCUUGCUCCCGUGAUGUUAGCGGCGGACGGGUGAGCAAAAAAGAAGGGAACCUGCCUGUAAGACUGGGAUAACUCCUUUUAAACCGGAGCUAAUACCGGAUAGUUCCUUGAACCGCAUGGUUCAAGGAUGAAAGACGGUUUCGGCUGUCACUUACAGAUGGACCCGCGGCGCAUUAGCUAGUUGGUGAGGUAACGGCUCACCAAGGCGACGAUGCGUAGCCGACCUGAGAGGGUGAUCGGCCACACUGGGACUGAGACACGGCCCAGACUCCUACGGGAGGCAGCAGUAGGGAAUCUUCCGCAAUGGACGAAAGUCUGACGGAGCAACGCCGCGUGAGUGAUGAAGGUUUUCGGAUCGUAAAGCUCUGUUGUUAGGGAAGAACAAGUGCAAGAGUAACUGCUUGCACCUUGACGGUACCUAACCAGAAAGCCACGGCUAACUACGUGCCAGCAGCCGCGGUAAUACGUAGGUGGCAAGCGUUGUCCGGAAUUAUUGGGCGUAAAGGGCUCGCAGGCGGUUUCUUAAAGUCUGAUGUGAAAGCCCCCCGGCUCAACCGGGGAGGGUCAUUGGAAACUGGGAAACUUGAGUGCAGAAGAGGAGAGUGGAAUUCCACGUG